AUCCAACGAGGAACAAUGCGGAGGGCAAGUCUGGUGCCAGCAGCCGCGGAAUUCCAGCUCCACUAGCGUAUAUAAAGUUGUUGCAGUUAAAAAGCUCGUAGUUGAACUUCGGGGCGUUGAUUGGGUGGUCUGUCUAGACAAGCACUGCCCAGGGCGCUCUUCCGGUCGGGGGCUUAGUACAAGAAGAAUUUUUUUUUUUCUUUGUAGGAAGUUCCCGCCAGUCACUUUGAAAAAAUUAGAGUGUUCAAAGCAGGCGAUAAGCCCGAAUAUUUCAGCAUGGAAUGACAGAAUAGGACGUAUGGUUUUAUUUUGUUGGUUUUCAAAACCAUCGAUGAUUAAUAGGGACGGUCGGGGGCAUCAGUAUUCA
rnacentral:rRNA from 1 species